rnacentral:rRNA from 1 species
GACGAACGCUGGCGGCGUGCUUAACACAUGCAAGUCGAACGGAAAGGCCCUGCUUGCAGGGUACUCGAGUGGCGAACGGGUGAGUAACACGUGGGUGAUCUGCCCUGCACUUCGGGUUAAGUCUGUGAAACUGGCUCUAAUACCGGCCAGGUGCCAUUUUUAGUGGGAUGGUUGGAAAGUUUUUUCGGUGUAGGAUGAGCCUGCGGCCUAUCAGCUUGUUGGUGGGGUAAGGGCCUACCAAGGCGGCGACGGGUAGCCGGCCUGAGUGGGUGGACGGCCACAUUGGGACUGAGAUACGGCCCAGACUCCUACGGGAGGCAGCAGUGGGGAAUAUUGCACAAUGGGCGCAAGCCUGAUGCAGCGACGCCGCGUGGGGGAUGACGGCCUUCGGGUUGUAAACACAUUUCGCUAGGGACGAAGCUUUUUGUGACGGUACCUAGAUAAGAAGCACCGGCUAACUACGUG